ensembl:misc_RNA Y_RNA Y RNA
AGUUUUUGUGAAUUUUAAGUGAGUUAAUACACAGCUAAUUGAUCACAACCAGUUACAGAUUUCUUUGUUCCUUCUCCACUCCCACUACUGCACUUGAGUAACCUUAA